UUCCUGGUGGCUCAGUGGUAAAGAAUCUGGCUGCAAUGCAGGAGACCCAGGUUCGAUCCCUGGGUUGGGAA
rnacentral:tRNA from 1 species